rnacentral:rRNA from 1 species
AGCGAACGCUGGCGGCAGGCCUAACACAUGCAAGUCGAACGAACCUUUCGGGGUUAGUGGCGGACGGGUGAGUAACACGUGGGAACGUGCCUUUAGGUUCGGAAUAACUCAGGGAAACUUGUGCUAAUACCGAAUGUGCCCUUCGGGGGAAAGAUUUAUCGCCUUUAGAGCGGCCCGCGUCUGAUUAGCUAGUUGGUUGAGGUAAUGGCUCACCAAGGCGACGAUCAGUAGCUGGUCUGAGAGGAUGAUCAGCCACAUUGGGACUGAGACAAGGCCCAAACUCCUACGGGAGGCAGCAGUGGGGAAUCUUGCGCAAUGGGCGAAAGCCUGACGCAGCCAUGCCGCGUGAAUGAUGAAGGUCUUAGGAUUGUAAAAUUCUUUCACCGGGGACGAUAAUGACGGUACCCGGAGAAGAAGCCCCGGCUAACUUCGUG